GUUUCUUUCGGAGCGGCGGUGAAGGUCCUGGGUGAGGUAGGGUUGGAUGGUGCUUGCCGCGUAUCAUGGCUGCCUCCGGAAAACUCAGCACUUGCCGUCUCCCUCCGUUGCCCACGAUUCGAGAAAUCAUUAAGUUGUUAAGACUGCAAGCAGCGAAGCAGCUAUCACAGAAUUUCCUCCUGGACUUGAGGCUGACAGAUGGAGUUUCACUCUUGUUGCCCAAGCUGGAGUGCAAUGGCAUGAUCUCAGCUCACUGCAACCUCCGCCUCCCCGGUUCAAGUGAUUCUCGUGCCUCAGCCUCCCAGAUAAGAUUGUAAGGAAAGCUGGCAAUCUGACAAAUGCUUAUGUUUACGAAGUGGGCCCUGGGCCAGGGGGAAUCACAAGAUCUAUUCUUAAUGCCGACGUCGCUGAACUUCUGGUGGUUGAAAAGGACACUCGAUUUAUUCCUGGAUUACAGAUGCUUUCUGAUGCAGCACCUGGGAAACUGAGAAUUGUUCAUGGAGAUGUCUUGACAUUUAAGGUAGAAAAGGCUUUUUCAGAAAGUCUUAAAAGACCCUGGGAAGAUGAUCCUCCAAAUGUACAUAUUAUUG
rnacentral:lncRNA from 10 species